rnacentral:rRNA from 1 species
CACAAGCGGUGGAGCGACGUGGUUUAAUUCGAUGCAAACCGAAGAACUUACCUGGGUUUGACAUGUACGUGUUACUGAGGUGAAAGCUGAGGGACCACAUCUUCGGAUGUGGAGCGUACACAGGUGCUGCAUGGCUGUCGUCAGCUCGUGUCGUGGAGAUGUUGGGUUAAGUCCCGCAACGAGCGCAACCCCUGCAUUCAGUUGCCAUCGGUGAGGCCGGGCACUCUGGAUGGACUGCCGGCGACAAGCCGGAGGAAGGUGGGGACGACGUCAAGUCAUCAUGGCCCUUAUGUCCAGGGCGACACACGUGCUACAAUGGCCGGCACAGCGGGAAGCGAAGGGGCGACUCUGAGCGGAUCCCUUAAAGCCGGUCCCAGUUCGGAUUGCAGUCUGCAACUCGACUGCAUGAAGUUGGAAUCGCUAGUAAUCGUGGAUCAGCCAAGCCGCGGUGAAUACGUUCCCGGGCCUU